UACGGAGGAUGCGAGCGUUAUCCGGAUUUAUUGGGUUUAAAGGGAGCGCAGACGGGUCGUUAAGUCAGCUGUGAAAGUUUGGGGCUCAACCUUAAAAUUGCAGUUGAUACUGGCGUCCUUGAGUGCGGUUGAGGUGUGCGGAAUUCGUGGUGUAGCGGUGAAAUGCUUAGAUAUCACGAAGAACUCCGAUUGCGAAGGCUGCACACUAAGCCGUAACUGACGUUCAUGCUCGAAAGUGUGGGUAUCAAACAGG
rnacentral:rRNA from 1 species